ACUCCUACGGGAGGCAGCAGUGGGGAAUAUUGGACAAUGGGCCACGAGCCUGAUCCAGCAAUUCUGUGUGCACGAUGAAGGUCUUCGGAUUGUAAAGUGCUUUCAGUCGGGAAGAAGAAAGUGACGGUACCUACAGAAGAAGCACCGGCUAACUAUGUGCCAGCAGCCGCGGUAAU
rnacentral:rRNA from 1 species